rnacentral:rRNA from 1 species
GAUGAACGCUAGCGAUAGGCCUAACACAUGCAAGUCGAGGGGCAUCACAUGAAGUAGCAAUACGGAUGGUGGCGACCGGCGCACGGGUGAGUAACACGUAUGCAACCUGCCUUCAACAAGGGGAUAACCCGUUGAAAGACGGACUAAUACCCUAUAACACAGGGGUCCCGCAUGGGAAUAUUUGUUAAAGGACAACCGGUUGAAGAUGGGCAUGCGUUCCAUUAGCUAGUUGGCGGGGUAACGGCCCACCAAGGCAACGAUGGAUAGGGGAACUGAGAGGUUUAUCCCCCACACUGGUACUGAGACACGGACCAGACUCCUACGGGAGGCAGCAGUGAGGAAUAUUGGUCAAUGGACGCAAGUCUGAACCAGCCACGUCGCGUGAAGGAAGACGGCCCUACGGGUUGUAAACUCCUUUUAUACGGGAAUAAAGUGCCCCACGCGUGGGGUUUUGCAUGUACCGUAUGAAUAAGGAUCGGCUAACUCCGUGCCAGCAGCCGCGGUAAUU